GACGUAGGGGGCGAGCGUUUAUUCGGAAUUAUUGGGCGUAAAGGGCGCGUAGGCGGUGCGGUAAGUCACCUGUGAAAUCUACAGGCUCAACUUGGUAGUCUGCACGAGAAACUGCCGGGCUUGAGUAUGGGAGAGGUGAGUGGAAUUCCUGGUGUAGCGGUGAAAUGCGUAGAUAUCAGGAGGAACACCUGGUGGCGAAAGCGGCUCACUGGACCAUAACUGACGCUGAUGCACGAAAGCUAGGGGAGCAAACAGG
rnacentral:rRNA from 1 species